AUUGAACGCUGGCGGCAUGCCUUACACAUGCAAGUCGAACGGUAACGCGGGGCAACCUGGCGACGAGUGGCGAACGGGUGAGUAAUGUAUCGGAACGUGCCCAGUUGUGGGGGAUAACUGCUCGAAAGAGCAGCUAAUACCGCAUACGACCUGAGGGGGUAAGCGGGGGAUCGCAAGACCUCGGGCAAUUUGAGCGGCCGAAAUCCGAUUAGGUUGUUGGUUGGGUAAAGGCCUACCAAGCCGACGAUCUGUAGCUGGUCUGAGAGGACGACCAGCCACACUGGGACUGAGACACGGCCCAGACUCCUACGGGAGGCAGCAGUUGGGAAUUUUGGACAAUGGGCGCAAGCCUGAUCCAGCCAUGCCGCGUGCGGGAAGAAGGCCUUCGGGUUGUAAACCGCUUUUGUCAGGGAAGAAAAGACUCCUGUUAAUACCGGGGGUUCAUGACGGUACCUGAAGAAUAAGCACCGGCUAACUACGUGCCAGCCGCCGCAGUAACAC
rnacentral:rRNA from 1 species